UGAACUUGUUGUCUAGGGAUAA
rnacentral:siRNA from 1 species